UACGUAGGGCGCAAGCGUUGUCCGGAAUUAUUGGGCGUAAAGAGCUCGUAGGCGGCUGCUCAAGUCGAAUGUGAAAACUCGAGGCUCAACCUCGAGCCUGCAUUCGAUACUGGGCGGCUAGAGUCUGGUAGGGGGAUCUGGAAUUCCUGGUGUAGCGGUGGAAUGCGCAGAUAUCAGGAGGAGCACCGGUGGCGAAGGCGGGAUCCUGGGCCAGUACUGACGCUGAGGAGCGAAAGCGUGGGGAGCAAAUAGG
rnacentral:rRNA from 1 species